rnacentral:misc_RNA from 1 species
AAGUCGUAACAAGGUUUCCGUAGGUGAACCUGCGGAAGGAUCAUUAAAAAAAAAUUUAAUGAAUGGUCGGAGGGAAACAUUUUUUGUUCCCCUUUGGCUUUAUUCAACCAACCCGCUCUUGUAUUUUGUAUCAAACAAAAAAUUUCUUUAAAACUAAUAAAAAUAGUAAUGUAAAAAAAAACUUUCAACAACGGAUCUCUUGGCUCUC